rnacentral:rRNA from 2 species
UACGGAGGGUGCAAGCGUUGUCCGGAUUUAUUGGGUUUAAAGGGUGCGUAGGUGGCCUUAUAAGUCAGUGGUGAAAGCCUGCAGCUUAACUGUAGGACUGCCAUUGAUACUGUAGGGCUUGAGUACUGAUGAGGUAGGCGGAAUUGAUAGUGUAGCGGUGAAAUGCAUAGAUAUUAUCAAGAACACCGAUUGCGAAGGCAGCUUACUAAGGAGUUACUGACACUGAGGCACGAAAGCGUGGGGAUCAAACAGG